GCACAAGCGGUGGAGCAUGUGGUUUAAUUCGACGCAACGCGAAGAACCUUACCAGGGCUUGACAUCCCCUGACCGCGUAUGAAAGUACGAAUUCACCUUCGGGUGACAGGGAGACAGGUGGUGCAUGGUUGUCGUCAGCUCGUGUCGUGAGAUGUUGGGUUAAGUCCCGCAACGAGCGCAACCCCUACGUUUAGUUGCUAACGCGUGAAGGCGAGCACUCUAGACGAACUGCCGUUGACAAAACGGAGGAAGGUGGGAUGACGUCAAAUCAUCAUGCCCCUUAUGUUCUGGGCUACACACGUGCUACAAUGGCCGGUACAGACGGACGCAAAGCCGCGAGGUGGAGCAAAUCCUAAAAAGCCGGUCUCAGUUCGGAUUGCAGGCUGCAAUUCGCCUGCAUGAAGUCGGAAUCGCUAGUAAUCGCAGGUCAGCAUACUGCGGUGAAUACGUUCCCGGGCCUU
rnacentral:rRNA from 1 species